ACACCUCAACUCUCACGGCAAGCCGUGAUGAGCUUGGACUUUGGGGGUCUUGCUGGCCUGUUGUCAGCUCCUCUCAAAUGAAUUAGCUUGCCAGUGUUUGGUGGGAUCACAGGUGUGAUAACUAUCUACGCUUGUGGUUCCCCGCCAGGUAACCUUCAGCGAUGGAGGUUUGCUGGAGCUUAUGAAUGUCUCUCCUCUGUGAGGACGAAUUUUGACC
rnacentral:misc_RNA from 1 species